AGCUGGUCCUGGCGCAGGCCUUUUCGUGGCCCUCGGGAUAAGUAUCUGCUCGUGUCUUGGCCACUUUUGAGUGACCCAGCUGCGAGCAGGGAAACUAGCAUGCGC
rnacentral:ribozyme from 1 species